UACGGAGGGUGCAAGCGUUGUUCGGAAUUACUGGGCGUAAAGCGCGUGUAGGCGGCUUGGCAAGUCGGGUGUGAAAGCCCGGGGCUCAACCCCGGAACUGCAUUCGAAACUGCCUGGCUAGAGUCCCGGAGAGGGUGGUGGAAUUCCCAGUGUAGAGGUGAAAUUCGUAGAUAUUGGGAGGAACACCAGUGGCGAAGGCGGCCACCUGGACGGUGACUGACGCUGAGACGCGAAAGCGUGGGGAGCAAACAGG
rnacentral:rRNA from 1 species